rnacentral:rRNA from 1 species
AGUGAACGCUGGCGGUAGGCCUAACACAUGCAAGUCGAACGGCAGCACAGUAAGAGCUUGCUCUUACGGGUGGCGAGUGGCGGACGGGUGAGGAAUACAUCGUAAUCUACUUUUUCGGGGGGGAUAACGUAGGGAAACUUACGCUAAUACCGCAUACGACCUACGGGUGAAAGCAGGGGAUCUUCUGACCUUGCGCGAUUGAAUGAGCCGAUGUCGGAUUAGCUAGUUGGCGGGGUAAAGGCCAACCAAGGCGACGAUCCGUAGCUGGUCUGAGAGGAUGAUCAGCCACACUGGAACUGAGACACGGUCCAGACUCCUACGGGAGGCAGCAGUGGGGAAUAUUGGACAAUGGGCGCAAGCCUGAUCCAGCCAUACCGAGUGGGUGAAGAAGGCCUUCGGGUUGUAAAGCCCUUUUGUUGGGAAAGAAAAGCAGCAGGUUAAUACCCCGCUGUUCUGACGGUACCCAAAGAAUAAGCACCGGCUAACUUCGUG